CAUAAAGUAAACCUGUUGAACAUUAUAAGUGCCUUGGCUUCCUGUUGUGUUUUUAUAGCUUCUUGGUUUUAUAACUUGAUAUUUGCUACACUGUUCCUAUGAACAACCCUAGUAGUUGGUAAGUACUCUGCAUUCCAUGUGAUCAUUUAAUUUCCACGCUGGCCCAGGUGAUGUUACCAGCACAGUCUCCUGAAGGGUUGGACUGUGACUCUUCCAGUAUAGAAUCACAAUCACAGAAUGGCCUGGGUUGAAAAGGACCACAAUGCUCAUCCAGUUCCAACCCCCUGCUAUGUGCAGGGUCGCCAACCACCAGCCCAGGCUGCCCAGAGCCACAUCCAGCCUGGCCUUGAAUGCCUCCAGGGAUGGGGCAUCCACAGCCUCCUUGGGCAGUAUAGUUGAUAAGGAGCACUGUCCCAGAAGAUGAUUCACUGCAUAUAACAAAAUCCAGAGGAUCUGGUUAUAAGAUGUAAGUACAGAAGCUCCUAACAAGUGCUUCCGUCCUACUCUUCACCAAACUCCACAGAAAGCCUUUGUGCACAGCUGCGCUAUGUCGGUAUCUCGGCAAUGGCCGCCAGAUCUCGCGAGAGGUGCUGACGGGACGUGGCAUUGCCGGGGCAACGGCGGGAGGUUUAAACGGCGGAACCGCGGACGUGGCGCUCAAUGACCACGGGCAGCUGCUUGGCAGCCGGCGCUGCUGGAACCGCGACGACGCAUUUCGAGGUACCGUGGGGAUUCGGGAGCCUCCUUCCUCCUCCCCGGGAAACCGGGGAGAGGAGAGUGAACGGCAGCAGCCGCCAUCAGCGGGAGAGAGGCUGACGUGGCGCCGGGGCAGCAGUGACCGCACCCACGGCCUUAGAAGGAGCCUCAGGGAGGAGCGGUUGGCGCGUGUGCGUCACGUUUCUCGGAGAGGUUGUGGAGUCUCAUCCAUGGAGAUACUCCAAUCCCAAGAGGACAGUCCUGAGCAGCCUACUGGAGGCCAUGACCAUCAUCUGCAGAGGUGCAGUGACUCUGCAAUUCUGUGAAACAUCCAUGGAGUAAAGUGAUGAGUCAGGUGUCAUCCCCCCCCAAAAGGGAGCACCUGAGAAUCCCUGAAGCCUCUGACCAAUACAGAAAAUGUUAUGCUGAGGGACAGAGCCAGUAGUUUCAACCAUAGCAGCAGCAGAAGCAAAAGGUAUAGCCCUUAGAUACCCAAGGGCAGUAUGGACACAACUUAAAGAUGGAGCAGGUGCUCUGAUGCCUUCUUGAGAAGGAUCACAAACGCUUCCAAGGGAUGUCUCAGUCCCCAUCUUCUGCUGCAGAAUAAGUGUCUCAAGAUCUGUUGUUUGCCGUGCUUCAUCGAGGUCGUUACAAAUGUCUGCUGGAGAGAUAGGAAGUUGUGGAGCAAAUGAGAAGGGACAGCACUGUCCUGUCAUUAACACGUUCAGAAGAAGUCGGAUAUCCCAGCAAGAUCACAGAAUCACAAGAGUUGGAAGGAACCUCAAGAGACUAUUGAAUCCAACCCCCCUGCUAAGGUCUGACCAACAGAAGGAGUGGCUGCAGUGCAUGCUGUGCCUUUAGUGCACUCCUCAACACGGCACCCAGAAAAUCAAAGUGUGGAAACUGACAGAAUAACCAUUGUGUCGCCCUUUAGCAACUAUCUGCUAAAACAUGGAGGUCGUUCUAUGAAGAUUGCAACAAGUGUCAGGACUACAGGGUUUUCGUAUACUCCAUGAUCAUCGGAACACCUUGCAGGGAGUGCGCAGCGAGGAGUACACCUGAUUGAAUGGGCAGCGUGCUGGAAUGCAAACAAGAAUGUGAAGUGUUUUGUAUGAAUGUGGAUUCUUCCAUUCCAAUACUAACUGGCUGUCAGCAGUUCUCUUUGAAGCUGGAGCACACUGGAGCUCAAUCACUGCACAAGGAUUAGAGACUCAUACGUUCUAAGGCAUUAGUAAAAAUAUAUUCCAGGUGGAUUCUGUCUCUUAAAUGCGUCAUUAUUAUUAAGGCAGUAGAGUUUUUUGGCGUGCAAUCUCUUCCAAAGCAUUGACUCAUGGGAGGAAGAGGGAGCAGCUUUUCCUUUUGCUCAGCAUGCAAGCCUCUGAUGGUCUGCUGGGAUGUUCUGUCCAAGGAGAUUGAUCAGAGGUGUCGGAGCGAGCUGUGCUCAACUGGGCCUGGCAGCAAAACUGGGAGAGGCUCACAAUGAGGGUGAAAGGGAGGAGGAAAACCAGACGUUCUGCUUUUAUCAUUGUAAUGCCAUAGGGCUUUAAACAGCAAAAUCUGUGCUGGUAGGAAAGCCCAUGCCUAAAUAUCAGUACCAGCUUGGAUGAUAAAUAUGGACUAAGAGAAGGCUCCUAAGUAGAGACUUAAACUGACUGGUAUCCUCCAGGUGUGUAAACCUACUUAAAUCCUGAAAUAAAAACAGUGUACUUCAAAACUAAAUGCAACUGAAGAACAACACAGUGCAAAUUUCAAGUCUGCUCCUUUUCUUUCAGACUUGAGAAGAUCUGAUGGGCCUAAAAGCUUUCUAGUCUAAGUUUUCUAGCUGUGCUGCUUUGUUUCAGGCAGGAUAUCUGUGUUAGAGUUCCUUGUUCUUGGGGCCACGAUAUGAGUAAUAUCAGC
ensembl:lncRNA